AGAAAACCCCCAGUUCCUGACCCUGAAAUCAGCAGAACUCCCUUAAAGACACCACCAACAUCCAAACAUGUCACACCAUCCUCCAGUUCAUCACAAAUGUCAUACUCGUCAACCAGCUCACCAAACAGCUCAACAACCAAGCGUAGGAUGACUAACUCCAGUCCGUCACAAAU